rnacentral:lncRNA from 1 species
CAAAAUGGCUGUAUUAAGAAAAGGUCACGCUGUCUACUAUCAAAAUGAAAAUGAAGUAAUCGAAAAUGGAGAAGAAAACGAUGAAGAUGAAGAAUAUAAUGAAGUAGCUCUACCAAAUGAUAAUGU